rfam:Schistosoma mansoni strain Puerto Rico chromosome 6, complete genome
AUCCAGCUUACAAGUCCUAAAUAGGACGAAACGCGAGUCAUGGAU